UACAGAGGUCUCGAGCGUUAGGCGGAAUCACUGGGCUUAAAGCGUGUGUAGGUGGAUCGUUAAGUACCUUGUGAAAUCCCACGGCUCAACCGUGGAACUGCUUGGUAUACUGGCGGUCUUGAGCCAGCUAGGGGCUACCGGAACAAAUGGUGGAGCGGUGAAAUGCGUAGAUAUCAUUUGGAACGCCAACGGCGAAAGCAGGCAGCUGGGGAUGCACCGACGCUGAGACACGAAAGCCAGGGGAGCGAACGGG
rnacentral:rRNA from 1 species